AUUGAACGCUGGCGGCAGGCCUAACACAUGCAAGUCGAACGAGUGGCGGACGGGUGAGUAAUGUCUGGGAAACUGCCCGAUGGAGGGGGAUAACUACUGGAAACGGUAGCUAAUACCGCAUACCAUCGGAUGUGCCCAGAUGGGAGUAGCUUGUAGGUGAGGUAACGGGUCACCUAGGCGACGCUCCCUAGCUGGUCUGAGAGGAUGACCAGACAAAUUGGAACUGAGAAACGGGCCAGACUCCUAAGGGAGUGAGCAGUGGGGAAUAGUGAAAAAUGGGCGCAAGCCUGAUGCAGACAUGCCGCAUGUAUGAAGAAGGCCUGCGGGUUGGAAAGUACUUUCAGCGGGGAGGCGUUACCCGCAGAAGAAGCACCGGCUAACUCCGUGCCAGCAGCCGCGGUAAUAC
rnacentral:rRNA from 1 species